GACGUAGGGUCCGAGCGUUGUCCGGAGUUACUGGGCGUAAAGCGCGCGCAGGCGGUUUCGUACGUCGGGUGUGAGAGCCCCCCGCUCAACGGGGGAGGGUCAUUCGAAACGGCGGAACUGGAGGCAGGGAGAGGUCGGUGGAAUUCCCGGUGUAGUGGUGAAAUGCGUAGAUAUCGGGAGGAACACCAGUGGCGAAGGCGGCCGACUGGACCUGUACUGACGCUGAGGCGCGAAGGCGUGGGGAGCGAACGGG
rnacentral:rRNA from 1 species